UGCAAGUCGAGCGGAUGAUGGGAGCUUGCUCCCGGAUUCAGCGGCGGACGGGUGAGUAAUGCCUAGGAAUCUGCCUGGUAGUGGGGGGCAACGUUUCGAAAGGAACGCUAAUACCGCAUACGUCCUACGGGAGAAAGCAGGGGACCUUCGGGCCUUGCGCUAUCAGAUGAGCCUAGGUCGGAUUAGCUAGUUGGUGGGGUAAAGGCCUACCAAGGCGACGAUCCGUAACUGGUCUGAGAGGAUGAUCAGUCACACUGGAACUGAGACACGGUCCAGACUCCUACGGGAGGCAGCAGUGGGGAAUAUUGGACAAUGGGCGAAAGCCUGAUCCAGCCAUGCCGCGUGUGUGAAGAAGGUCUUCGGAUUGUAAAGCACUUUAAGUUGGGAGGAAGGGCAGUAAGUUAAUACCUUGCUGUUUUGACGUUACCAACAGAAUAAGCACCGGCUAACUUCGUGCCAGCAGCCGCGGUAAUACGAAGGGUGCAAGCGUUAAUCGGAAUUACUGGGCGUAAAGCGCGCGUAGGUGGUUUGGUAAGAUGGAUGUGAAAUCCCCGGGCUCAACCUGGGAACUGCAUCCAUAACUGCCUGACUAGAGUACGGUAGAGGGUGGUGGAAUUUCCUGUGUAGCGGUGAAAUGCGUAGAUAUAGGAAGGAACACCAGUGGCGAAGGCGACCACCUGGACUGAUACUGACACUGAGGUGCGAAAGCGUGGGGAGCAACAGGAUUAGAUACCCUGGUAGUCCACGCCGUAAACGAUGUCGACUAGCCGUUGGGGAUCCUUGAGAUCUUAGUGGCGCAGCUAACGCGAUAAGUCGACCGCCUGGGGAGUACGGCCGCAAGGUUAAAACUCAAAUGAAUUGACGGGGGCCCGCACAAGCGGUGGAGCAUGUGGUUUAAUUCGAAGCAACGCGAAGAACCUUACCUGGGCCUUGACAUGUCCGGAAUCUUGCA
rnacentral:rRNA from 1 species